rnacentral:rRNA from 1 species
UACGUAGGGUGCGAGCGUUAAUCGGAAUUACUGGGCGUAAAGCGUGCGCAGGCGGUUUUGUAAGCCAGAUGUGAAAUCCCCGGGCUUAACCUGGGAAUGGCAUUUGGGACUGCAAGGCUUGAGUGCGGCAGAGGAGACUGGAACUCCCGGUGUAGCAGUGAAAUGCGUAGAUAUCGGGAGGAAUACCGAUGGCGAAGGCAGGUCUCUGGGCUGACACUGACGCUCAUGCACGAAAGCGUGGGGAGCAAACAGG